rnacentral:misc_RNA from 1 species
UCUCUCUCUCUCUCUCUUCACACUCAACUACCAGAGCCAUUUGCUACUGCUCUGAGUCUCUGACAUUUUUUGUACGAAUAUGAAGGACAAUGAUCCCCCAAAAAUUACAUCAAUACCUGCAGCCACAGCCGCUGCCACCACCACCACAACAAUAACACCGAAGAAGCAUGCCUCCGAUGGUUCUCUUUUUGGUAAAACUCGAUACAAGUUCUGGGUCUUAGCUGCAAUUCUCCUUCUUGCAUUUUGGUCCAUGUUCACUGGCUCCGUUACUCUCAAAUGGUCCACCGGUAACCUUUCCCAUCUCAACGACGAUCUCGACUUUCCGAUCCGCGAUGAUGAUCUCGACAUCCUUGUAUCUCUCUUUCUUCUCUCCUUUACUGUUGUUAAUUUCUACUGAUUUUAUUAUUAUUUUUUUAUGUAUCUUUUCGUAUGAGAUGAUUAGGAACUGGAGGAGAAAAAGCAUUUGGUGAGGCGUAUGUGGGAUAUCUACACCCAUAGCUCAAGCACAAAAUUGCCUCGUUUUUGGCAAGAGGCUUUUGAAGCUGCUUAUGAAGCUUUGGCUAGUGAUGUUACUGACAUUAGAGAUGCUGCCGUUUCCGAGAUCGCCAAGCUGUCUCUUCUCUCCUUCAAUCCUCACCCGCUUCCCGUUCAAUUUACACCAGUAAUUAGUCACCAAAACACCCUCUCUUUGCUUAUUCAAUUAUUAGUUAUUACUGAUAUUGAUAUGUGCUUGCGUUUUGAGCAUGAUUAACUAUUCUUGUUUUAGUUUUGGAUUAAUUAUUAGGCACUUCCACUUGCUUGGAUUAAUCUCUAUUGGUUGUAUUUUUUUUUUAAUAAAGAAACGGUAUUGGAUAAUCCAAUUCGAAUUUUUAGUUGAGGAUGCAUAUGGGUUCAAAAGUGAAUACCAAAAUAUGCAAUGCUUUUAUUAAGAUUUCUCUUUUCUCUCACCUCCUUCCCUCAUUGUUGGCUUUGCCAAGAAAAUGGUUUUUUCUAAAACUAAAAUCAUUCUUCCAAAGUUUACAACUGCAUUGAGGGAUUUUUUUAUUUUUUUUUAUCUAGGCCCGGUUUACUAAUCCACCCAUUUAUUUGUGUCUUGGUUGUUCACGGAAAACGGGAUUUAGGCAAGAAUUUCAUCUGCAUUGAGAUAAUCAGCAUUAUUGGUAAAUCAAACUUCAAAUUCUAAAUUUAAUAUAGCAUAUUUGAGAAUGGAAAUACAUUUCUUGAUUAUUAGACAUAGCAAAUGAAUCUAAUAUUGUGAGGAUCUUACUAGAUUCUGUUGAUCACAGUCUUCUCAAGUUAGUAUCACAACUUAUCAACUGCAAUAGAUAUUAGCACUCCUUUUAUGCUAUCUUUUUAUAUGUUUCUGAAAGUGUGAGAAAUUUUGGUUUUAAUCAAUAGCAAACAACCAUUUCAGAUUAUGCCCUUUAUUUUCUUGUAUACAAGAUGCAAGCGUGUAGCACUGUUAAUCUAAAGAAUGUAAUGUUAUUGUGUUUAUGUAGGACACAAGCCAUGGGUUUGAAGAGUCCCAUGCUAAAAGAGGAAAGCAAAAGGUCUAGCCAAUAACAGGAAAUCUUGUUUUUCUUUUGAGCAUGUUGAAACUUGUUGCGCCUACUCAGAGUUUAACAGGAGGCUGCAACGGAUUAGAACUUUACAUCAUCUGUUACACUGAUAUAAGAGAUCAGUCACGUAACACUCCCAUUUUCCAGUCCAUUUUCUUCUAUAACAAUCAAUAUUAUAUGCUGAAAGUGAUUGUAUAAAUCUUUCUUUCAAAAUAAGUACUGCAUACGUACAUGUAAAUGCCUUUGGACGUUGAACUUGAACUCUUCUUUGUAAUGGUCAGAAAAGUAAACAGUAUCAUCACUUGAUUCUCCAGACUUGUAAAAUUAUAAAUGAAUAUGAAUUUCGUUCAUCUUUUCAUUUCUUGUGGCCUAGAAAUUGGGUGCAUAUAUUCUAUAGUUCAGCAAACAGCUCGACUCCGAGACUAAAAAUUUAGAAUGGCAUGACAAAGAACUGAGAACCUCGAGGCCAAAUGGAUGUUUUGGUGGUUUGGCUCCCAAGGCAUUUCAGCUUUAAGUGCUCUUGAACAAGAACUAUUCCCAAGCGCUUAGAUAUCCAGAAUUGCAUGACAAAAACAUAUAUCCAAAGAAAUCUCCUGAAUGAGCCUCCAUAAUAAUUCCAUCAUUUUUUACUUGGGCUAGCGACAGAUGAGCAAGAUUGUUGUACGACAAAGAUUGAAGAAAUGGCCAGGAAUGGAAGAACAGGGAGUUUAGAUCACAUGGAUCAAGGUCAAUUUGAUAAUUUUAUACUAAACCUCGCUCAAGUGCUCUAUUAGAUAACUAAGAGGAACUCUUCUGCAGGGAUAUUACCUAACAAAAUGACUUGAGCGGAUGAAUAGUGCUGCUGUGGUUGCUAUAUAUA